GGCCUCCAGCUGAAGAGCCACGCCCCUUGCGUUAGACCCCCAUCGGUUCUCCCAAUUACCGAGAGGAAGGGCAACUCGAGGAUGACGCCAGGCAUCAAGAAGUCACUGGAGAUGGAGGCUUUGGUUUAGCAGACAGAAUGUCCAAAGAGAAGGUAAAUCAGCCCGUUCAAGAAGUGAACCCCCC